CAGCCGCCGCGGGAAUACAGAGGGUGCGAGCGUUAAUCGGAUUUACUGGGCGUAAAGCGUGCGUAGGCGGCUUUUUAAGUCGGAUGUGAAAUCCCUGAGCUUAACUUAGGAAUUGCAUUCGAUACUGGGAAGCUAGAGUAUGGGAGAGGAUGGUAGAAUUCCAGGUGUAGCGGUGAAAUGCGUAGAGAUCUGGAGGAAUACCGAUGGCGAAGGCAGCCAUCUGGCCUAAUACUGACGCUGAGGUACGAAAGCAUGGGGAGCAAACAGGAUUAGAUACCCCCGUAGUCCCUGUCUUUAUACC
rnacentral:rRNA from 1 species